GUGAACGCUGGCGGCAGGCCUAACACAUGCAAGUCGAACGGCAGCACCAGAGAGCUUGCUCUCUGGGUGGCGAGUGGCGGACGGGUGAGGAAUGCAUCGGAAUCUGCCCAUUUGUGGGGGAUAACCUCGGGAAACCGGGACUAAUACCGCAUACGACCUACGGGUGAAAGCAGGGGAUCUUCGGACCUUGCGCAGAUGGAUGAGCCGAUGCCGGAUUAGCUAGUUGGAGGGGUAAAGGCCCACCAAGGCGACGAUCCGUAGCUGGUCUGAGAGGAUGAUCAGCCACACUGGGACUGAGACACGGCCCAGACUCCUACGGGAGGCAGCAGUGGGGAAUAUUGGACAAUGGGCGCAAGCCUGAUCCAGCCAUGCCGCGUGUGUGAAGAAGGCCUUCGGGUUGUAAAGCACUUUUGUUGGGAAAGAAAAGCAGCCGGUUAAUACCCGGUUGUCAUGACGGUACCCAAAGAAUAAGCACCGGCUAACUUCGUG
rnacentral:rRNA from 1 species